GGCAGUGGGGUGUAGCAGUUUGAGUGUCAGACUAUGACUCUGGAGACCAGGGUUCAAAUCCCUGCUCGGCCA